UUUGUGAGUGUCAUGAACAUGUUCCUUUUGAAUUUAAUAUAGUCGAAUUCUGUCUGAACUUUGAUUAUGAGGUAAGUUCUUAUUCUAAUUUGUUUAGCUUGUAUUCAAUAUCUAGUUUUUGUUUGGCUCAUGUCGUCUUAAUUUCAUACCCAGUUCUCUUUUUGAGUUUAGUUGUUUAGAUUUUUGAAUGGUUUAAUGUAUGCGGGAUAGUAGUCGAUUGAUCUAGUAAUUGAUAACGAGGGUUUUUGAAUUAACUCGAUUUUGGUCUAAAGUUUCAAACCUGCAAUUUGGUUGAAGCUUUAUCGUGUAAAGUUAGUGUGAUAGCUAGUUAUGAUAUGAGGGCUCAUAUACUUAAUUAAGUUGUGG
rnacentral:misc_RNA from 1 species